GACGAACGCUGGCGGCGUGCUUAACACAUGCAAGUCGAGCGGUAAGGCCCUUUCGGGGGUACACGAGCGGCGAACGGGUGAGUAACACGUGGGUGACCUGCCCUCAGCUCUGGGAUAAGCCUGGGAAACCGGGUCUAAUACUGGAUAUGACUCCAUGACGCAUGUUGUGGGGUGGAAAGCCUUGUGCGGCUGAGGAUGGGCCCGCGGCCUAUCAGCUUGUUGGUGGGGGAUGGCCUACCAAGGCGACGACGGGUAGCCGGCCUGAGAGGGCGACGGCCACACUGGGACUGAGACACGGCCCAGACUCCUACGGGAGGGCAGCAGUGGGGAAUCUUGCGCAAUGGGCGAAAGCCUGACGCAGCGACGCCGCGUGAGGGAUGACGGCCU
rnacentral:rRNA from 1 species